rnacentral:lncRNA from 1 species
CGGCCGGCGGCGGGGAGGUCGCGGGGCCGGGAGGCGCGAGUUGGUCAAAUUUUCCAUUCGAAGACGAGUUUUAUGCUGCGGUAGCUUCAAGCAAUAAGUCGAACACUGUGUUGAAAUUAAGUCUUGGAUCCGACUACUUCCAGCGAAGUGAGGAGUUGGUCCAAUAGAAAUUAUUUUCCAAAAUGUGUUGUAAUUCUCCUGUUGCUCCACAAAUAAGGGGUUAUCAGAGAGGAAAACGUUGACUGACUUCGCAUUUCUGAAAGCUGGUUUGUAGUCGCCUUAUUUCAUCCUUACCCUUCUCUGGAAAUGUGACAUUAGUUCUGUUUGUGCUUAAGACAAAGGAAACAGCUGGCACCUUUCGGGAAGGUGGCUCCAGUACAGUUGUUUCCAGGUGUUAAGCUGUAUGAGAAAGUAGAAAAGUAAUCAGAAAUCCUUACUAGUUUUCAUUUAAUCAUUUAAUUAUUAAUUUUAACCAUCAUUAUUUGUCGUCUACUUGUUUUGUGUAAAAUGAGUAAUACACUCAAAGUUCUUGUUAAUAGGAAAUUAUUGUUUGAUAAAGCUGGCUUUAUGGCUUGGUUAUUUUGAUACCUGCUAUGAAAUUCUAUGUCCAGAAGAGUGCAGCAUAUCCAAGCAGGGUAAUAAGUUCAGAAGGACUGAAAAAGAAAACAAAGAUGAUUUUUCUUUAAUGAUGGAAAGGCAAUUUUUAUUUCAAACGAUUAUGCAUUUGUAGGUUGUGCAUAGGCUGAAAGGUUUGAAUCACUGUGAAAUAAUGUUUCUAACAACAUCCUUAAAACUGAGUUACCUCUUGAAUGGAUAGAUAAAUAGGAACUGGGUUAACUACCCCAAACGCUAAUCUCUUUAUGAUCAUCCUUUUUUGGAAUGAUUUAUUAUUUUAAAAAUUAUGUUGUAAGAAUGGAAUUAUAGCCCCGGAAAUAUUUAGAAGCUUUAUUUCAAAUUAAUGUUAUUAAGUAUUCCAGCAAAACAAUAAAUUCCACUUUUAAGUAUAUGUUAAAAUGGUGAUAAAUAAAAGUUAUAACUUAA